UGAUAAGUGAAGCUGUGAAAGCCCAAAUUAGUCUUCAUUUAGUUUCAAACACAUCAAUAGUGAACAAAAUAUAAACAAUUGUGAUCAACAAAUGAUUUAUUUGUUAUGGAAUUUACCCAUGGAAAACUAGCUCAUGAAGUGUUUUUAGAUAGAUGUGAAGUCUUGUGAAAUCACCAGUCCCAUAUAGUGAUAGCGAUAACGAUGAUGAAGAGUGCUGCGUUGGAAAACGUGGACUUAAGCGCAAACCAGUGAGAAAGGAAAAGAAGAAAAAUGACAAUAGAGUACUUCCUAACCCGUGUAUAAAUACCAAAUGUAAGAAGGAUUGUCGAAGUGUGCCAGACAUUUCCCGGCAAAAUAUUAACGAACAUUACUGGGGUAUGUCAAACACAAGACGGCUAACAUGGCUUCAUGCAAAUAUCAAACGAAAGCAAAUUAAAAAAAGGCGAGCUGGGCAGGAAGCAAAGCGUGUGCAAAGGCGAAACUGGACGUUUGAAUAUUCCCUAUUGUGGGAUGGAAAAAUAUUUAAAGUUUGCCAGAAUUUUUUUUGAAAACUUUAAAUAUUCCUCAAAUGGUUUUGAGACAUGCAUUAAAGAAAACUAUUAGUUUUGAAAGCCGAAAAAAAGCACCACAUAAUAAAACAGACCAUCGUACAAUAGAUUUUAUCAAAGCUUACAUAAAAAAGUUGCCAGCAGUACCAUCACACUAUUGCCGUAAAAAUAAUCAAAAAGUCUAUUUACC